ensembl:lncRNA
UCCCAUCUCUGUGAACCUGCCUCGUCUCCCACCAGCUCCCGGAUUUGCUGAGCCUUUCUGCCACGUAGCUUCAACUUGUCUUGUAUUAUAUCUUGCCACUGGGGACUCUUUCAGAAUGAUAGCCUUCAGUUAUCGUGUGGUGUUCUGCGCAGUGGGUCGGAUCGUGAAGGAUGUGGCAGCGGCUAUCUGGGACACAAUGGUCAAUGAGAGUGAAAGCAGCAGUUCCUCCUUAAGGUCAGAGAUUGCAGCAUCUGAGGGCCUCUUCAAAAGAAGACGUAGUUGAUGAAGGCGUUCUGGAGCAGGACCAGAAAGACC